rnacentral:rRNA from 1 species
AUGAUGAAGAGGAACUCCAGGACGGGGCUUCUCUCAAGCAAGAAGGCGAGAUCACGCUCUUCCAUGGUAUUCAAGCAGAGGAUGAGCUCCCGGAGGUUGGGGAAUCUGGCGCCGCGCGGCACGGCGGCGGUGUCCGGGAGCCUAAAGACGCCAAGACAGAGGCGGGUGAGGGAGGCGCAGCUGAAGAGUGGCGGGGAGGCGCAGGUCAAUCGGCCAAGGGCGGUUGACAAAUACGAGCUCUUGGACCCCCUUUGCGACGAGCAUGUCGAUCCAGCGCGCCAUCUCGCCUCGGUGCUCGUCCAUGGUGCCGCGGGUGAGGUGGACGCAGCGGAAAGGCCCCGGGUGCGCCGCGAGGGCGCUGGAGACCGCGGCGGUGAUGGCGCGGGGAGAGGGAGCGCCGAUGAUGAACGGCCCGGACGCGCCGCCGUCCGGGAGCAGAUGGCUGUCGACAAGAGAGAGGGGCGCCGAGCGCCAGAUGGAGCGCCAGCGCGAGGCGAGGGCGGCGGUGCGCGCGGCGUCCUUGGCGGGGAGGCGGGAGACGAUGUCGCGGAGGACCGCAUCGGGGAGGCGGCUGAUGCGGUCGACGCCGUCAGGGACGCCGGAUAG